AUUGAGCGCUGGCGGCAUGCUUUACACAUGCAAGUCGAACGGUAACAGGCCGCAAGGUGCUGACGAGUGGCGAACGGGUGAGUAAUGCAUCGGAACGUGCCCAGUCGUGGGGGAUAACGCAGCGAAAGCUGCGCUAAUACCGCAUACGAUCUAUGGAUGAAAGCGGAGGACCGUAAGGCCUCGCGCGAUUGGAGCGGCCGAUGUCAGAUUAGGUAGUUGGUGGGGUAAAGGCUCACCAAGCCAACGAUCUGUAGCUGGUCUGAGAGGACGACCAGCCACACUGGGAGUGAGACACGGCCCAGACUCCUACGGGAGGCAGCAGUGGGGAAUUUUGGACAAUGGGCGCAAGCCUGAUCCAGCAAUGCCGCGUGCAGGAAGAAGGCCUUCGGGUUGUAAACUGCUUUUGUACGGAACGAAAAGGCUCUGGUUAAUACCUGGGGCUCAUGACGGUACCGUAAGAAUAAGCACCGGCUAACUACGUGCCAGCCGCCGCCGUAAAAC
rnacentral:rRNA from 1 species